AUUGAACGCUGGCGGCAGGCCUAACACAUGCAAGUCGGGCGAGCGGCGGACGGGUGAGUAAUGUAUGGGAAUCUAGCUUAUGGAGGGGGAUAACUACGGGAAACAGUAGCUAAUACCGCGUACCAUAGGAUGAGCCCAAGUGGGAUUAGGUAGUUGGUGAGGUAAAGGCUCACCAAGCCGACGAUCUCUAGCUGGUCUGAGAGGAUGACCAGACCCACUGGGACUGAGACACGGCCCAGACUCCUACGGGAGGCAGCAGUGGGGAAUUUUGCGCAAUGGGCGCAAGCCUGAUGCAGCCAUGCCGCGUGUAUGAAGAAGGCCUUAGGGUUGUAAAGUACUUUCAGCGGGGAGGCGGUACCCGCAGAAGAAGCACCGGCUAACUCCGUGCCAGCAGCCGCGGUAAUUC
rnacentral:rRNA from 1 species